rnacentral:rRNA from 1 species
CUUGCUUUUCUGAAUCUAGUGGCGAACGGGUGAGUAACACGUAGGUAACCUGCCCAUGUGCCCGGGAUAACUUCUGGAAACGGAUGCUAAAACCGGAUAGGUAGCAGACAAGCAUUUGACUGCUAUUAAAGUGGCUAAGGCCAUGAACAUGGAUGGACCUGCGAUGCAUUAGCUAGUUGGUGAGGUAACGGCCCACCAAGGCGACGAUCGGUAGCCGGACUGAGAGGUUGAACGGCCACAUUGGGACUGAGACACGGCCCAGACUCC